rnacentral:rRNA from 1 species
GACGUAGGGUCCAAGCGUUGUCCGGAUUUACUGGGCGUAAAGAGCGCGUAGGCGGUCCGUUAAGUGUAGAGUGAAAGCUCCGGGCUCAACUCGGAAAUUGCUCUGCAUACUGGCGGACUCGAGGGCGGAAGAGGUUUGUGGAAUUCCUGGUGUAGCGGUGAAAUGCGUAGAUAUCAGGAGGAACACCCAUGGCGAAGGCAGCAAACUGGUCCGCAUCUGACGCUGAGGCGCGAAAGCGUGGGUAGCAAACAGG